GACGAACCGUGCAAACGUUAUUCGGAAUCACUGGGCUUAAAGGGCGCGUAGGCGGGCCGCCAGGUCCGGGGUGAAAGCCUCCAGCUCAACUGGAGAAGUGCCUUGGAUACCGGCGGCCUCGAGGGAGGUAGGGGCGUGCGGAACUUCGGGUGGAGCGGUGAAAUGCGUAGAUAUCCGAAGGAACACCGGUGGCGAAAGCGGCGCGCUGGAUCUCUUCUGACGCUGAGGCGCGAAAGCCAGGGGAGCGAACGGG
rnacentral:rRNA from 1 species